AGAAGGGGCAGUGCAGCGAGCGGAGGCGGCGGCGCAUUGAGUAGCCUGACUCCGGUGGUGGCGAACGGAGCGGCGGCGCUGCAGUCGACCAAUCUUGAAUGUGAUCGCCGUCUGCACGUGGGAGUCGACGACUGCUGUGCUUGUUAGGCGGUGUUUCUCGUUUCUUUGUGUGUGAAUGUGGGCUUCUACAACGCCCGAAUGGCUCAGAAGCAACGCCUGAACCAUUGUUUCGCACCGGGGUGCAACACAGGAUACUCCCGGAUCAAGCAAACGGCCAAACUCUCGUUAUUCAAAGCACCCGCCGACCCGGAGAGAAGAAGCGUGUGGGAACGCAACCUUCGCAGAGACGACAGGAGACUCACACCUGAUUGUGCUGUUUGUGAGUUGCAUUUCGAGAAGCAUUUCAUCGUCAGGGACUAUGUUCAUUGUAUUAACGGCACGGAGGUGCGAAUUCCGCGCGGGAUCCCGACGCUCACACCGGACGCCGUUCCAACUAUUCUACCGAACGUUCCCUCAUAUUUAAGCAAGCGCUUACCUGCGAAAAGAAAUGAAAGGAACAGGAAAUCUGCAGACGAUGUCGUGCCCAGGAAAAAGUCACGACUGUCUACUACUGACGAGCCUGAUGUCUUGGACGAGCCCACGACAAGCCAGGGCGCCGUUGUAACAGUUGCCUCCUUGAAAGAAGCAAGACUGCCAGAUAAGACUCAUAAUUGUUUAUUCCAUGGAUGGAUUCAAUCUGCACUUAUAUUAUUGCAUGAAUUUACCAUCCAAGGUGAGUAAUCAGCUUCUUUCUGUCAUACCAUUCAGUUCUCCUGGGUGUUAAUAUUUUGCAGUUUUGAGUUCUCCAAUAUCCUUGUGAAAAGUUGUACCAAACGUUAGGAAGCGUGCAGUGUAAGAACUAAUUAGAUAAAAACAAUUAAAACCGCCGCGCUACUGCCGAGUUUAAUAAUAAUUGGUUUUGGGGGAAAGGAAAUGGCGCAGUAUCUGCCUCGUAUUUCUUUGGACACCUGAAGCGCGCCGUAAGGGAAAGGAUAAAGGAGGGAGUGAAAGAAGAAAGGAAGAAAGAAAGAGGUGCCGUAGUGGAGGGCUCCGGAAUAAUUUCGACCAUCUGGGGAUCUUUAACGUGCACUGACAUCGCACUGCCGAGUUUAAAUUUCAUUUUUAACGUGUUUAUUACCGCAGCCACAUUUCAGUGGUGGAUACAGAGACGCCAAGUUCGUUUCAGCGUGUGCUUUGUAUCUACCGUAUGCACUUUGCAUUUAAUUUCUUCGCUGUAACCAAAGAAUAUGAAAUUAACUCUUCCAUAUGAUAAUUUUGAAGAAAAGCACUUGCGUGCGAUAUGAUCAUAUGAACGCCUCCGCGAAACGCGCGCCAUUCGCUACAGCAGUUUCGCCUGCUAGCUUGGAAGAUAGUUCGACCGCAGCGCCGCCGCUACUGCCGACGCUCCAAGGGUCGCCUGGAGAGCGGCGCCCGCUGCACUGCCCCUUCUAGGCCACUGUACCUAGGGACAGGAUUGUUUACGGUUUUUGAGAAGGCAUGAUGGUGGCGCCGAGCGACGCCGUGGCGUGUUCGUUCUCGGCAUGUUCGUUCUCCGGCUCGCGCGGACCGUGCGUUGUUCGACGUUGCUUAUGUGAUCGUGCUUGCGUUGCUUGUGUGUUGGUGGUAGGUUCUGUGUUACUUGGCGGAAAGCCGCGAGUAGUGGUGGUGCGGCAGUGCGACUUUCGCCUCGGUGAGCUCUGGCAGUACAGAAUCUGCCUUGUGACCCGUGCUUCUAGCGCCUCGGCAGCGAAGUUCUGCGAACCGCGAUGUGGCGUCGCCGUGUCCGACUUUGCUUAACGGACAUUGAGGGAUGUGCUGCUCGCUACAAGUCAUGUAAAUGCGACUGCGUCGAUCGCCCAUGCACUGUUCAGCGCUGAUUGUGUACACAAUUAAGUGUGCUGUGCUUGAAACGAGUGGUGCAGCCGUGCAGCGGGGGGUGGUGGAGGAGCAGAGUGGCUUAGGGGUCUCCAUUUGCACGUUCACAGAUAUGUGCUCCCGUUUUGGUCUCAUUAGCGGCUGUCGCGGGAUUGUGGUGUGCUCCUUGCCUAGUAUGAAGUUUACAAUGCUAACACACAGCAUGUUCGCGUUUUUCCGUGCUAUGUGUCAUUUGCAUGAUGACCGAGUUGAAAACAAGGCAUAUGUCUGUGUUGUUUGCAUUUGUGUGUUGUAAAUUACUUCCUAUUGUGGAAGUUCUGGCAGUCUUAAACAUAAACGUAAACAUAUAAACAUAUUUCUGUGUGUCUGAAAUUUUGAAUUUCCCAUAAUAGCCUUUACGACUGAUAAGCGGGCUACACAGCCUGUGUGAAUCAGCUACCUUUUGUUGCGACCCUCUUCCAUGUGGUAGACUGAUGCAUGGUGCGCGUUUAUUUCUGUACUGUUGUAAAAACCAUUUGUUUAUUCACCCAUGGAGUACAAAUGUACUGCUUCUUCGCCGCAGUACAUUUUAGUUGCGCGCUGAAGGAUACUAAAAGUGGGAGGGGACCGCUAUCACCCAGCAUAGUAUGUCCACUCAGGCGACCUGAGAGGCGGCGGUUGCGCGAGUGUAUAAUUAAAGAACUCUUUUUAUGUCCAGUGACAGUGGCCCCUUUCCCCUUUAGUAUGCUUCACCGCAGUACAUAGGAGUAUUGCGAAAAAGGUAAUCUUAAAAAGCUCAAUUAUGCAACGUUUCUUUCGUAGCUUGCUACACCGCAAUACAGGGGUGUAGCAUCGUGCAGUAAAGCAUAAUAAGAGUGGAAAGGGCACAUAGGUUUACUCAUUAUUUUCAAUUGUGAUAUAAUUUGCAAGUGCAUCUGUGCUCUUGGUAAGCUUUAUUGACAAUUCUUUGUACAUUACAAAUUCAUAUUGCCAGGAAGCUUACUAAGGCACAUUCGCCAUAUUGUAAUGCAUUAUUCACCUUCAAUGCAGGAGCACAAUGCGGAUUCAUGCCUAUGCUUCUGGCUGGACUGCACGUGCUCUUUGAGAACUGAUUCGUUGUUCAUAAGUGCACUGGUACUUACUCUAAACUGGAGGGCUGAAGUUGAUACGGAAGCACAAUCUUUAUUAAGAGGACAAGAUGUUGCCAAGAUGGUUGUAGCACAGUUUUUUUUUUCUUCGAGGUACCUUUUCUACUAGAAGCUUCCAUUGCAGUGUUUCGAGCCUCUUUGAGCCAGCACAUAGUCUAUAUAAACAUCGGACACCGAUUGGGAACAUCACCUAUGCUCUCUGCAGUAAGCUGCGCACAGGAUAAGUUCAUGCCUAUCUAUAGAAAAAAAUGUAGCAUGACCAGACUAAAAGGGGGUGGGCUGCAGCAAUACUAAGUGUUAAAUGUUGCCUUAUCCUUUCUGUUGAGUUUUCUGUUUUGUGCUUUUUAUUAUGGAUCCUCCACAAUAACCAUUAGAGUGCCGAACGUGAGCUUGUUGGUCUCAGAUCUCAUGGUUGUUACUAACAAAACAGUGUGAUAAACAAACAAGGGCUUGGAGGCAUCCUGUCACCUUGCUUAUCUCAUGGUGUUGCUUCAUGAGCACCGUAGGCCUCCAGACCAACUAGGAAGGGAAAUUUGUUGCAAUCACUUCAGAACUGUAUUGCAACCAAACAAACAGUGCUCUCAAUGACAACAUUUGGACAGUAGAGUGCUUGCACCCAGUAAAGUCUAAGAAGGAAGCAUUCAGGAUGUGCAAGUGGGCCUUUUGAAGCUGGCAUCAUUGUUGAAGGGGCUUUGCCUGCUACCCUCUUUAUGGAUACACAAAGAUGAUUUCCUCUUUGAGAGGGAUUGUUUCAGAUGUCGUUACAUGGCAACAAUGCUGGGUGUAUAGUAGCAGAGAAGCUUGUCUUUGCCCACUGUCAAUAAUAUGUUCCUUUUCCAGUUCCUGUGGAAGUGCCUACUUUUUGUACACAAAGUGCUCUCCAUGCAUGCAUGCAUUUUUAGCUUGUAAAGAUGUCUAUUACCCUUUGCCUCAAGCUGGUCCUUGUUGAUGUCACCCAAGAAGGCAUUGUGGAGUAUGGCGAUGCGCACUUACAAAUCAGUGUUGAUGCCAGUGAAACCAGAUUAAUGGAGCUGCCAUUUAUUUCUGUCCACUCCAUCUUCAUCCAGUUACAAUGAGCAGUUCUUUGUCCAAACAGAAGGCAUAUGUAGUUGGUCAUGCAUAGCCUACGCACUAAGACUUGUUGGCGUGCCUGAGAACCUUAGCAGUGUCUAUAUGCAAAAACAUUCUGAUGUGUUGAUGACUUCCUUCUCUUUAUCACCCUUUGCCUGAUGAAGCCAGCAACUUGGUCACCCGCCGUGGUUGCUCAGUGGCAUGGUGUUGGGCUGCUGAGCACGAGGUCACGGGAUCGAAUCCCAGCCACGGUGGCCGCAUUUCGAUGGAGGCGAAAUGCGAAAACACCCGUGUACUUAGAUUUAGGUGCACGUUAAAGAACCCCAGGUGGUGGAAAUUUCCGGAGUCCUCCACUACGGCGUGCCUCAUAAUCAGAAAGUGGUUUUGGCACGUAAAACCCCAUAAUUCAGCAACUUGGUCAAUUAGAUGUACAACAGGCUUCCCAUUAGUUUUCUCAGCGUCUCCUUUACCAGGGUGCUGCUCAUAGAUAUCUGUUUUCUUGACCUUGCACUGCACUUAAACCAUGGCCACACCUGCUGAACCUAUAGUAUGCGAUCAGAAAAGUGCUAUACAUCACGUUGCUCCAAACUCAUGACAUGCGCUACAAGGCCUUGUGGAACACCCUCAUUAAUUUCCGCCCUCAUCAUACUGUAUGAAGUUUCACAUGACAAGUGCGACAAUUAACAUCUGCUGGUUUUUCAGUGCUAUUCCUGUCCAGCUUGCUGAAAGCUGUCCCGAGUGUUUCAAAAGCAAGACUGCUGUCGGACAAGAAGUGCAUAAAGCAAGGGUAGCAAUAACCAUAUAUGUCACACAAAAUGAAGGUCACUGAGUGUACAGGCGAUUUAAUUCUUAUCCAACAAGCUUGGUUCUCCCUUUGCAAGUGAGUAAACCCAACUUGCCCCAAAGACAUGGCCUGUGACAAACUAUGUGCCAGAUGCUGUGUCCCCUGCAAAGCCGAAGAUGUGUACAACAUCCUGACACCCGUAGUGGCUUCUACACUGGGCAAACAGGCUACUACAAGAAUGACCGCCUCUAAUAAUAUGCUAAUAACAUGAAAACGUGCAGAGAUUUGGCUAUUCAUUGGGUCCAACUGCAGGUGCAAGCCACUCUUCCACCAGAUUUGUGUUGUUCACAGGAAUUGGAGCUAUACAAAUGCAGACAAAAACAGUGAUGUUUGAAAGUAGUUGAGUUCAACUAUAUUCUGCACAAACAGUGCUACUUACAGCGCCGGUACCUUGUAGCUACAUUUCAUGGCUGUCCCGCCAUUCAAAGGCACUAUUCUUGAAUUAUUAACUUCUAUUUAUACUUAUGGUGGCCACAUAUUGCAAGUACAUAUCUACAUUUGUGCAAUAUGGUUAAAUGAUGUCAACUAUGAUAGCCAUUCCUAAUCUGAGAUGCAACAAAAGAACUAAUAUAGACAACAAAUUGCAAUUCAAGAAGACAACCCGUGCACAGGAUAAGUGAUAGACUUCCUUUUAUUGAACAAAAGUCACGUGUCACACGUCACCAGCAGUGGGUAGCAAACUUGCAAGCUUGGGUGACAGAGGCAAAACUUAGCAAAAUGCUACACUCAUACUCAAAUGUAUAAUGGCCUGACACAAUAAACUACAUUAUAUUGUACUGAAUGAAAGGGCAAGACUCCAUCCAAGAACACAUUACGGCACAACAUAAUUGACAUGGUGUAAAAGAUGUUAACACACCUUCCCCAUAAAAAAAGAAACACUGAAAACAUGCCUUAAAGGGCAAUGUGCAGUGUCUGAAAGCAAGGAAAAACAACCCAAAAAAGGUUUCGCUAAGUCUUUCAAUGAUUAAAAUUGUCAAACUGUCUUGUCACUUCUUAAUGGAUCUGCAUUGUGUACUAGGGUGUUCUGAUAAGGCAGUUUCAGCAAGUGUAUUGGAAAGCAGUGUUCCCAGUCUGUGCCCAAUAUUUCGAAUUUAAAGAGGGUCAGGCUGCCUUUCAAAGAUGUACAUUUUAAUUUAUAAAACAGAAAAAGGCAAGCAAAAUUGCUGUGCUUUAGAAAUUCACUUAAAGCAGUGCUAGUAAAUUAAAGUAUUAGUUUUCACUUAUACAGCUUUCCACCUCUAACAUUGUUUAUCCCAGUUGUAAAAAGAUGGGAAUUUCUUUUUGAACAGAACUUUUUAAACUAUAUUUAACAGGCGAACCAAAUACAUCAUAAAAGUGGCAUUUCGCAUCUGCAACAACUUCAAUGUACUUGAAAUUCAGCAUAUUGGGACAUGGAGGAAGCCAUAAAAAUGCAAUAACGGCCCGAGAGAGUUCUCUGCAAUUAGGUGAAGAAAUUGGCACAUACCUGCAACAUUUAUUGAUAUCUAGGGUGAACUUUAACAUCCAAUGCAAUAUAGGCUCUUUCGGGACUGUUUAUAACGUUUUGUGCCAGCGCACAUACGUUAAAACACUAUUCAGUGCUUGCACGCCGUGUCGAUGUAUGCCGAAUUGCAUUAACAGGACGUGAGCA